rnacentral:rRNA from 1 species
UGGGGAAUAUUGCGCAAUGGGGGCAACCCUGACGCAGCAAUGCCGCGUGAGUGAAGAAGGCCCUCGGGUCGUAAAGCUCUUUUAUGGGGGAAGAUGAUGACGGUACCCCAUGAAUAAGCACCGGCUAACUACGUGCCAGCAGCCGCGGUAACACGUAGGGUGCGAGCGUUGUUCGGAAUUACUGGGCGUAAAGGGCGUGCAGGCGGAUAGGUUAGCCGGAGGUGAAAGCCCGGGGCUCAACCCCGGAGGGUCUUUCGGAACUGCCUGUCUAGAGAGAGUCAGGGGCCAGCGGAAUUCCUGGUGUAGAGGUGAAAUUCGUAGAGAUCAGGAGGAACACCGGCGGCGAAAGCGGCUGGCUGGGACUACUCUGACGCUGAGGCGCGAAAGCGUGGGGAGCAAACAGG